rnacentral:rRNA from 1 species
AGGACGGCAGCAGGCGCGGAACUUGCCCAAUGCGCGCGCGCGAGGCAGCGACGGGGAGUGCGCGAGCGAGGCGGGCCCACAGCCCCCGCCGCGGAGCCGAGGGCAAGGUCUGGUGCCAGCAGCCGCGGUAAUUCCAGCUCGCGGGCGUCGCGUGGCGCUGCUGCAGUUAAAACGCCCGUAGUUGGCCCCCCGCCGCCACGAGGAAACGGGAGCGCUCCAGGCAGGCCCGUUGGACCCGCCGCGUGGGACCGCGCAGCGGGCGCGGCGCGCCGCGGCAGCCCCGAGGAGAGCGGGCGGGGGCACCGGUACCGGCCGGGGACGGGUGAAACAGGAUGAUCCCGCCGAGACCGCCGGCCGCGCAGGCGCCUGCCAAGACCGCCUCUGUCAAUCAAGGGCGAAGGCCGGGGGCUAGAAGGCGAUCAGACACCAC